UAUUAACUGAUACAUUUUGUAAAAAACAUUUUUUUCCACGACAGUAUCCCUUUAACAAGUAACAAAGUGAGGAAUCUUAUGGGGAUGCCCUCAACGUGAACAAACUAAAUGAGCAACAAACUAAAAAGAAAAGCUUGCAAUAUUUAUUCUUUUUGUCUAUUUACUGAGUUAAUCUAAAAUAAUGUUUUCCUUUACCAGGUCUGCAAUGAACACGGAUUUGACAAACAAUACCCGGACCCAACUGGCUGGAUAGAGCUCAAACAAUGUGUUGGAUCAGGAGGAUUUGGAGUAAUCCAUAAAGUCAGAUAUGAGAUUUUAAGAUUGUACGGGGCGGGAAUGACCUACCUUUUGUGGCCCUUAACAUCUCAAUGUAAUUCUAUAUAUUGUAUAUAUUUAUAUAUCUAGUAUAUAAAUAUUCAUACAUAUGUCAUGUAUCACUAAAUUGGUGAGAAGGAUUCAUAUUUUCUUUUGGAGUUUGUUUUUUGUUUCUGAGACUGCAAAGACCCAUGUCGUUAUACCCAGGUACUUUAUCAAAUUCAAGUCAAAAUUCACCACAAAUCUGUUUUCUUUCAGGCAUGGCAUAUUAAGGAAAAGAAAGAAGUGGCCAUAAAAGUAAUAAAAGACCUUAGGGAUAAUGAAGAGAUUCUUGCUGAACUGUACGUACUUCAAUGCGUUUCUGGCCACGACAACUUCCCUGCCUUUUAUGGAGCCUAUUAACUACGGCCCAGCAUUUCAAAUGAAGAGGCACUAUGGGGCCUGGCUUACUUACAAGAACUGAACGUGAUACAUCAUGAUCUCAAGAGCGCCAAUAUAAUAACUUCUACGGCCCGUGUGAAAAUAAUUGAUUUUGGCCUUGCCACAGUAGGGCCCAUCAGUACAAGUAAUGGAGGAACCCUCUGUUGGAUGGCACCUGAAGUCCAUGCAUGUUUUAUAAGAAGAGUACAUUAUGACUGCAAGGUGGAUGUGUGGUCUUUAGGAAUCACAGCCAUAGAAAUGGCAGAAUACAAUCCUCGUAAGUAAUCUUAAAUAACAUUUUGUGUGCAUUUAUGUUAAUUUAUGGAGGAGUGUUUUUAGGAAGGUCAGGGGGUAUCAUCACCCAUUCUGUAAAUAAUGAAACAUGUCAAUUGGCCAUGAAUCAGAGAAUCUUUUCUGUGCUUUUAUUAUAAUGGUGUCUUCUGUAAGUUACUUUCUUUUUAGUGAUACACUGGAAAGCAAGAUAUAACUUCUUGUUUCAGAGACAGGAGCAAUCAGAUAAAAGAUAUAGAAUGUGUCUUUCCUGUAUCUCAUUAAGCUAAUGGCAAAUAAUGUGUUUUCUCUGCUGCUGAGAAAAUGCAGAUACAGCCAUAUACUGCCCUAUAUGCCCAAUAUCUGUCUUUCACUGUCUUUUCACACGCUGCAAAUUCCAUCCAGACUGCAUUUAUUUACUUGUUAUGUAUGAAAGAAGGAAAUUCUGUCUCAAAGUUAAAAUAAAUCAUUGGUUGGUUCUGAUAAUGGAAAUUUAUCAGAAUAUUUGAUGUAGUCACCCUCUACUGUACAAUGCUGCAAAAUAUGUUGGCUCCUUGUAAAUUUAUAAGAAUAACAAUAAUAAUAUUGUGUUCUCUUACACUUACAGAACACGUUAAACUUCAUGGUACUGAGCUUUCCGAAAUGAUUAUGAAUGCUCCAGCUCUAAAACGGGAGAUAUGGGGAGUCAUUUUUUUUUUACAGAAAUAGGACUUAAGGUGGCCAUAGACAUUACAAUUACAAUCAUUCCUGGA